UACAGAGGGUGCGAGCGUUGUUCGGAAUUAUUGGGCGUAAAGAGCUCGUAGGCGGCUUGUUGCGUCGUCCGUGAAAACCCGCAGCUCAACUGCGGGCUUGCGGACGAUACGGGCAGGCUGGAGUUCGGUAGGGGAGACUGGAAUUCCUGGUGUAGCGGUGAAAUGCGCAGAUAUCAGGAGGAACACCGGUGGCGAAGGCGGGUCUCUGGGCCGAUACUGACGCUGAGGAGCGAAAGCGUGGGGAGCGAACAGG
rnacentral:rRNA from 1 species